AUCUAGCUGACCAGUUCUAAGUAAGACGAAACGCGCGUCCUGGAU
rfam:Schistosoma rodhaini strain Burundi genome assembly, scaffold: SROB_scaffold0010833